UACGAAGGGUGCAAGCGUUAAUGGGAAUUACUGGGCGUAAAGCGUGCGUAGACGGCCUUUUAAGUCUGCUGUGAAAGCCCUGGGCUCAACCUGGGAACUGCAGUGGAUACUGUGAGGCUGGAGUGCGGUAGAGGAUGGUGGAAUUCCCGGUGUAGAGGUGAAAUGCGUAGAGAUCGGGAGGAACAUCAGUGGCGAAGGCGGCCAUCUGGACCAGCACUGACGUUGAGGAACGAAAGCGUGGUGAGCAAACAGG
rnacentral:rRNA from 1 species